CGCCGACCCGGACCACAGCUCCCAGCACGCCCCACGGGCCCACGCCAGCCAGGACUACAAUUCCCGGCGUCCUCCGGAAGCUCAAGUGUACCGAGGCGCGGUGCCUGCUGGGAAUUGUAGUUGACGUUGGUCAGCACGCAGGCCGCAGGAUCCCAGCCCGGCCUUUGUGGGACUGAGGUGGCGCUGAGUGGGAGAGCAGCAGGGGAUGCGCGAAAGGAGGGACGUGGAGAUAAAUACUGAGCACCCACAACGGGCAGCUAGCACCACUGCAGACUGGAUACUGCAAUGAUGAUAAGCACGGCCUGCCUUUAUGGAGAUGGAGUUUCCCUCUUUCGUCCAGGCUGGGAUGAAAUGGUGCAAUCUCGGCUCAUUGGAAGCUCUGCCCCCCGGAUUCAAGUGCUUCUCCUGCUUCAGCCUCCUGAGUAGCUGGGAUUAUAGGCACCUGCCACCAUGCCAGGAUAAUUUUUGUAUGUUUAGUAGAGAUAGGGUUUCACCAUGUUGGCCAGGCUGGUCUCGAAUUCCUGAACUCAGGUGAUCUACCCUCCUUGGCCUCCCAAAGUGCUAGGAUUACAGGCAUGAGCCACUGCGCCCAGCCCAGCCUCUUCUUGAACUUCAUGCAAAAUUAUGUGCCCUGUUAUAGUCUGAGGCCUCAGCUCCAUGCUAUCAGGCUUCAAAGACAGCAGCCACAGGAUACCUCUAUGAGGACUAUGUGAGAACAAAGUGAGAUGUCAAUGGGUGAGUGCUCUAAAGAGAGAAAAAUUGAUCAUUCCAGCUGUACUGAAUUUGAGUCCUAACAGAGACUCCCAGGAAGAAGGGCAGAUGUGGGGCCUUUUGUUCCUUCCCACAGAGGCAAGAGUACUGAACAGACUCUUUGGGCCCUGAUUUGCCCAUUACCCACACCUUCCUCCCCAUCUUAUUCCUAAGCUGAGAAUGGCAAGUAUGACGGUAGAGUCUGUCAGAUCUAGGAUCAAAUCUUCACCACUCUCUACUGUGAUUCUGGGCUGCUCACCUCCCUUGGGGUCUGUUUCCUAUCUAUAAAAUGGAACCUCCUGUGAAAAGCUUUUUGCUCAUUCAUUAAUUUAAGGAAUGAAUUACACUUAACAAAGUUUUGGAUUUUAUUAAUAAAAUGUAUGGACAUGUGUUUUUCUCGUUA